CAAAGUUUGCUUAUGCAACUCUCUUCUUGUGUUUGAUCAAGAAUCUCUUGUGUUUGAUCAAGAUGCACUUUUUCAACAAUUCGGGGAAGAUGACUACAAUGAUCCUAAUGAAGAGAGAGUCAGGGUAGUCAACGUUCACAAAAAACAAGAUGGUGAUGUUGCUGGUACUUCUACUACAAUUCAUCAGGGCAGUCAACGUAUACAAGGAAGGCAGAUGAAUGAGCUAAGGAUACCAAUUGCAAAUCAGAUGGCAGUAGAUAAGGGUUACCCCCUGAUUUGAUUGUUUAUGUAAUAAAAUUUCAAGACACCUAUUUGCAGCUAUGAUUUUUAUUUUGUAAUUCC